rnacentral:rRNA from 1 species
AUUGAACGCUGGCGGCAGGCCUAACACAUGCAAGUCGAGCGGAUGAAGGGAGCUUGCUCCUGGAUUCAGCGGAGGACGGGUGAGUAAUGCCUAGGAAUCUGCCUGGGAGUGGGGGAUAACGUCCGGAAACGGGCGCUAAUACCGCAUACGUCCUGAGGGAGAACGUGGGGGAUCUUCGGACCUCACGCUAUCAGAUGAGCCUAGGUCGGAUUAGCUAGUUGGUGGGGUAAAGGCCUACCAAGGCGACGAUCCGUAACUGGUCUGAGAGGAUGAUCAGUCACACUGGAACUGAGACACGGUCCAGACUCCUACGGGAGGCAGCAGUGGGGAAUAUUGGACAAUGGGCGAAAGCCUGAUCCAGCCAUGCCGCGUGUGUGAAGAAGGUCUUCGGAUUGUAAAGCACUUUAAGUUGGGAGGAAGGGCAGUAAGUUAAUACCUUGCUGUUUUGACGUUACCAACAGAAUAAGCACCGGCUAACUUCGUG